rnacentral:tRNA from 1 species
GCCUGCCUUGCUCAGUCCGUAGAGCACGGGACUCCUGAUCUUGGGGUUGUGAGUUCAAGCCCCACGUUGGGCG